rnacentral:rRNA from 1 species
GACGAGGGAUGCAAGCGUUAUCCGGAUUCAUUGGGUUUAAAGGGAGCGUAGGUGGCCUUAUAAGUCAGUGGUGAAAUCUCUGGGCUUAACCCAGAAAUUGCCAUUGAUACUGUAGGGCUUGAGUACAGUUGCUGUGGGCGGAAUAUGACAUGUAGUGGUGAAAUACAUAGAGAUGUCAUAGAACACCGAUUGCGAAGGCAGCUCACAAAACUGUAACUGACACUGAGGCUCGAAAGUGCGGGGAUCAAACAGG